GACGAACGCUGGCGGCGUGCCUAAUACAUGCAAGUCGAACGCACAGUUUAUACCGUAGCUUGCUACACCAUAGACUGUGAGUUGCGAACGGGUGAGUAACGCGUAGGUAACCUGCCUGGUAGCGGGGGAUAACUAUUGGAAACGAUAGCUAAUACCGCAUAAUAUUGAUUAUUGCAUGAUAAUUGAUUGAAAGAUGCUAUUGCAUCACUACCAGAUGGACCUGCGUUGUAUUAGCUAGUAGGUGAGGUAACGGCUCACCUAGGCGACGAUACAUAGCCGACCUGAGAGGGUGAUCGGCCACACUGGGACUGAGACACGGCCCAGACUCCUACGGGAGGCAGCAGUAGGGAAUCUUCGGCAAUGGACGAAAGUCUGACCGAGCAACGCCGCGUGAGUGAAGAAGGUUUUCGGAUCGUAAAGCUCUGUUGUAAGAGAAGAACGGGUGUGAGAGUGGAAAGUUCACACUGUGACGGUAGCUUAACAGAAAGGGACGGCUAACUACGUG
rnacentral:rRNA from 1 species